GGAUUUGCGAUACACCUUGUAUCAAAGGAAGUUUUAUUGCUUUAUUUGAGAUCUCUCGAAAGUUAAAACAACCAGGCUAUAGGCUAUUUUGGAAGGUACCUUGUAUCAAAGGAAGUUUUAUUGCUUUAUUUGAGAUCUCUCGAAAGUUAAAACAACCAGGCUAUAGGCUAUUUUGGAAGGUACCCAAGCAGUGGCGAGCUUGAGUGGAUAUUUGGAGGGGGCCAAAGAGUUAUAACAUAUUAUAAAUUCAAUAAAUAUUUUAAAAAUUAUGUGUGGUACAGUGUUAAGAUUCAAGUGUUUUUGUUAUCAUGACUGCAGUUAAAAUCGUAUCUGCCAAAAAAUCUUAUGUUUAUU
rnacentral:lncRNA from 1 species